AUUGAACGCUGGCGGCGUGCUUAACACAUGCAAGUCGUGCGGUAACAGGCGUAGCAAUACGUGCUGACGAGCGGCGAACGGGUGCGUAAUACAUGGGAAUCUGCCCUUUAGUGGGGAAUAACCCGGCGAAAGCCGGGCUAAUGCCGCAUAAGAUCUUCGGAUGAAAGCGGGGGAUCGUAAGACCUCGCGCUGAUGGAUGAGCCCAUGUCGGAUUAGCAGUUGGUGAGGUAACGGCUCACCAAGGCGACGAUCCGUAGCUGGUCUGAGAGGACGGCCAGCCACACUGGGACUGAGACACGGCCCAGACUCCUACGGGAGGCAGCAGUGGGGAAUAUUGGACAAUGGGGAAACCCUGAUCCAGCGACGCCGCGUGUGUGAAGAAGGCCUGCGGGUUGUAAAGCACUUUCGGU
rnacentral:rRNA from 1 species